rnacentral:piRNA from 1 species
UCCUGGGCCUGAGGUUUGUGUGG